rnacentral:tRNA from 1 species
UGGGUCGUCGCCAAGUGGUAAGGCACAUGGUUUUGGUCCAUGCAUACGGGGGUUCGAAUCCUCCCGGCCCAACCA